GUAUAGUUUUUGAGUCUUUGCAACUCAACUCAACCCAAUAAAGAAUUGAAUUUGAAUUGACACACAUCCAUUUUUGUAGUUUAGACAUAAUUAAUUAAUUCAUCAUUGUUCCUGCUUGAGAUCUUACACAACUGAACUCCACAGAGGAAAUAUUUGAAUUCCAAUUACUUGGGGCUUGGGAGUGGCUACAAGUCUUUUUGACAUGUUGUUUGGGGACAAACUAUUUUAGUAACUUUUUGACUUUUUGGCUAAAAUAUGAGGUAAAAUAAACUAGUACGUUUGGGAUGACUUUUUAAUUUUUUACGCAAAGAUGUGCAAAAAGUAAAGAGAAAAUGAAAUCUUUUACUUUUUGAUAUAGGUUAUUGGUUUUUUGAUUUUUUUAGUGACUUUUUGACUUUUAGACUAAAAAAUGAUGUUGCCAAGUUCAUUCUUAUUCAAAUUUGAGACCUUGUACAACUCCAUUUAAUCCAAACCAACACAACAAUGCCCAAGAUACCAACUACAAGGGGUUGGUUUCAAGAACACCUCUUCAGCUGUCCCUAACAAAAAAAAGGGGCUUUACAUACGUAGUGUCCAAUCAUUGGUAAAUGGAGCGUCAGAAGGAAGAGUUCUAGAGUUGAAAGAGCUUUUACAUGAAGUAACACAGAUUUAGGAUUAACUUUCAUGAAGCUUUAGAUUCGGGAUAAAUGCUUUCUGCUGGCUAUACAAGAUGCACAGAGCUCUUCUGUUUUUUGUACUAGGGAGAUGCUUUGUAUAAGAUAGAGAACAUCAGAAGAAGAUACAGGUGUAUCUGCAGACCAUGAAUUUGCACAUGGAUUCGCAUUUCAUUAUGGUUUCCUUUUUUUCCUUUUUUAAUUUUGCCCUGCUAAGUUGUGCACUAUUUUUAAGAUUUGGAAUGAUAAAUGUUGCUCAAUACAAUUUUCUUUAUUGUUGAUCGUGCAUCAAACUAGUCAACAUGGAUAGAGCCUCCACCAGCUUCCAGAGUGGUCUAAUAUUCUCCAUCAGCAACUGAUAGCCAUAGUUCCUGCAACACAACCUUGAGGAUAACUGACUGCCACUACAAGAAAAGGGGGUAUAUAAUACGGAAGUAUUUGCGACGGCACCACUUAUCGUCAAAAAAAAUCGUCACAAAAAAUGAGUUUUUGCGACGGCACCACUUGCCGUCUCCAAUAAAUCGGGUUUCAGUGACAGUACUACUUCCUGUCACAAAAAAGCAAGUUUUUGCGAUGGCAACUACUGCAGUCACAAAUAAUUCAGGUUUUUGGCAAUGGCAACCCAUGCUUUCACAAAUAAAUCCAUUGUUUGCGAUGACAAUCCCCCCGUCGCAAAUAAAAAAUUAGUUAAAUGACGUCGUUUAAUUAUUUAAACUUUCAUUUGUGACGGUGAAACUUGACGUUGCAAAAAAAAAAUUGAAAAUUUGAGAACUCAUCUUUUUUUUUUUUAUCCUUCGCGCUUGUUUUUCCCCCUUCAACCAAAAAUCCCCAAUCUCAAAAAUCCCUAACCCUUUGAACCAAAAACCUUAUCUCUCUCUCUCUCUUCUCACGACUCUCUCUCUCUCGACUGUGAGCAGCGGCAGACGACAACGAGCCUUGAAUCGGCGACGGCAGCGAGCAGCGUGCGACGGCGGUGAGUAAGCGACGACAGUCAGGCAUUUUUUUCAUCUUCGUCUUCACAUCUCAGUCAGUCUCAAUCUCUGAACCAGGCACUGACAGCUUCACCUGAACUCUGAACAAUCUACCAAUUCGUCGAAAUUUCAGUUCCUUCGCUGACCUCGUUCUCUCUUUCUGCCACUAAGUUUUGUCUAGGAAAAUGGAGCAUUUGUUAGGAUGGGAAAGUUCCUUGCUUUGGUUCACUUGUUGAGCUGGACACGAAAGAUUCAGAACACUAACUAGUUCAUAUUGUAGAGGUAAAGGAAUAAUAAUGGGUAAAUUCUCUAGUUCUUCAUUGUUUAUCUAACUUUAGUCCCUUUCUGUAUCGAUUUAAUUUUGACUUAUGUGCCUUCAGUGUUACUUUUUGUAUGACAAAAUCCUCAAGUUAUGCACAUGGAGCUUGAUAUUUUGUGACUGGUUGUAGUGCCCCUCUCCUCCUCCCCCAUUUUUUCCUUUUGCAGUGUUCCUCAUCAUGUAUAUUGGUUAUUCAGUCACAACCUUCUGAGUUAUUAAAGUUGAGAUGGAAUCAUUUGGCAAGAACUUCUGCAUAUGGGUAAUUUUUUAAAACUAUGACCCAAAUGAACUAAAUAGUCUUUUCAUUGUGCAGUGGAUAUAGUUAAGCAUAAGAGUUUGGGCACCGAAUUGUUGUCUUUGUAUUUAUUUUAGUUUGUCAAAAUGUGCAGCUGUUUAUGUGUGCCACUUCAGGUCUGAUUUACAUAUGGUAUGUAAGCUAUCCAUAAUUGAUUCGUACACAAUCUGCACACUUUUCUGGCUGCUAACUUGUCUAAGAUUCCUGUUGGCCUGACAAUGUCCUGUGUUGCAUUGCUGCUUAACUAUUUUUUUUCUGUUUAUUAAUUUCUUAUGAGAGUUAUGGCCCAGGACAGACAACUGGCGAAAGAAAUAGUUGGGAGCAGAUUUUGUUGAGUUGAGUUUUAUGUAUUUAUUUCGAAGAUUAGAUACUUGCACAUCUCAGAGUUUUAACAUUUGAGUUAACCUUAUUAGGAGAGAUCAAGAAGCCCCCUGUUUCUUGCAUACCUCGUGUAGGCCUCAGUCUCCUGAUGUUUAAAUCCCAAUCAAUUGGUUCUCUUAAAACUUUUGGGGCAUCACACACUACAUCAUGAUGUUAGAAUUAAAACACUGAUCAUGUUGGCUGUGUAAGAACAAAGGAGUUGCAUUCUAUUUCAGCAUUUGAGAUAAGACAGUACAGUAUCUCUGAUAACUAAAGGAGGAAAUUGAGUUUUCUUUGUGUAGUUGUGGUGAUUCUUUAUCCAUGUGCUCUGAUAAAUCUCCUCUCUGGUACUUGUCAGUUUCUUAAGGGACUUUUAUUUGUCGGAAUGUGUGUGGGUUGAAGUUUGGUAAAGUUCUUUUGUAUUUUAGUUUAAUAUUAUAAGCAUUUUUAUUGGUAAUUGUUAUUUUUUUUAUUACUAAAUAACUAUAUAAGAUUUACAUUACCUGAU